rnacentral:rRNA from 1 species
GCCAGACUCCUACGGGAGGCAGCAGUGGGGAAUAUUGCACAAUGGGGGAAACCCUGAUGCAGCGACGCCGCGUGAGUGAAGAAGUAUUUCGGUAUGUAAAGCUCUCUCAGCAGGGAAGAAAAUGACGGUACCUGAUUAAGAAGCCCCGGCUAACUACGUGCCAGCAGCCGCGGUAAUACGUAGGGGGCAAGCGUUAUCCGGAUUUACUGGGUGUAAAGGGAGCGUAGACGGUGAUGCAAGUCAGAAGUGAAAGCCCGGGGCUCAACUCCGGGACUGCUUUUGAAACUGUGUGACUGGAGUGCAGGAGAGGUAAGCGGAAUUCCUAGUGUAGCGGUGAAAUGCGUAGAUAUUAGGAGGAACACCAGUGGCGAAGGCGGCUUUCUGGACGACAACUGACGCUGAGGCGCGAAAGUGUGGGGAGCAAACAGGAUUAGAUACCCGAGUAAG